GUUAAAGUGUGACUAUCCCGAGAGUCUGGCCACUGUCACAAACAACGACUUUUAACAAACUAAACGCCCAAAAGCCAACAUUGAAGGUCCUGUCGCAUUUGUUCUUGCUCUUUCUCAUCCAGAAUGCAAUUCUCAUCCUGGUCAAACCUAGUGAAGGCAGCCGUGAGCUCAGUGAUCUCAUGCUCUGUGUGCCCCAGUCUGAGGAGAACAGGAUAAUGAAAUGACUUCUUCCCUUUUGAGGCUGUGAUUGCUCCAAUAUGGACUCCUCCCCCUUUUGCUAGGCUCUUAAAGAGGGAGGAUAUGAAGAUGAAGUGGCAGAAUGCUUGAAAAAAGAGAACAAAAAGGCAGGCCACUUUACGUUCAAGAUCAUAAUGACAAGAGACAGAAGAGAGAAGAAUAUCAAAUGCCUAUAAAGUAGGGCACGGAUCACAGGGCAUCUGUCUCUCACCAAGAUGACCAGCAGAUCCAGUAUGUUCCAGAUACUAGUGAGGUAGUAAAGC